rnacentral:rRNA from 1 species
UACAGAGGGUGCAAGCGUUAAUCGGAAUUAUUGGGCGUAAAGCGCAUGUAGGUGGUGAUAUAAGUUUGAUGUGAAAGCCCUGGGCUUAACCUGGGAAUUGCGUUGAAUACUGUGUCACUUGAGUCGGACAGAGGGCGGUGGAAUUUCCGGUGUAGCGGUGAAAUGCGUAGAGAUCGGAAAGAACAUCGGUGGCGAAGGCGGCCGCCUGGGUCCAGACUGACACUGAGGUGCGAAAGCGUGGGGAGCAAACAGG